GGCGGACGGGUGAGUAAUGCUUAGGAAUCUGCCCAAUAGUGGGGGACAACUCGAGGAAACUCGAGCUAAUACCGCAUACGCCCUACGGGGGAAAGCAGGGGAUCUUCGGACCUUGCGCUAUUGGAUGAGCCUAAGUCGGAUUAGCUUGUUGGUAAGGUAAAGGCUCACCAAGGCGACGAUCCGUAGCUGGUCUGAGAGGACGAUCAGCCACACUGGGACUGAGACACGGCCCAG
rnacentral:rRNA from 1 species